CUACCUACAAAAAUUUGAGUAGACAAUCCAAAUUGCACCAUGUAAUUUGCAAAUUGCAUCAUUCUUACCCCUCGGCCAUUGCAAUUGAACCAGAUCCAUCAAUCCAGUUGCAACAGAAUAGAUCCAUUUGCUCAACCAUGCUAACAACCAAUUACCCGAGUAGCUUUCUUGUAAGUUCUCUCUUAUUAUUUUUUCUUACAAGCAAUUCUCAAAACUAUAGUCUGAUAAACAAGAUAUGAUAUAGAUGUGACAAUCAAACUUGUACAGUCCCUAUAUCUUGAGAACUACGAAGAAUGGACCCAUUUGUAAAGUUAGAAAUAAAUAUAAAAGGAAUUUUUGUAAGUUAAAUGCACAAGUGACAUAAGCCAACAUCAACCUGGAAAUUAUUGUUUACUAAACGAACCCUCAAAUUUUUAUUUUUAUUUUUUUAUGCAGUAACACAAAAGGCCAUGAGUAAAGGUUCACGAGAAAAGAGAAUGAAAAAAUGGCACAAAGGAAAAGAUAUUGCUCAUUGGUACACCAAAAAGAAGAGGAAGCUGGACAUUACAAACAUGACCAUCUGAAAAAAAAAAUGAUUGGACAAUAAAUGAUUGGAAUUCAUAAUAAUUCUUGAACAUCUGAAAACAUUAAGCAAAAUAGAAACUAAGACAAUGUAAACACUAUCAACGUUUUUGAACAGCACAUCACAAUAGUAGUCCAAUGACAAGCCAAAAGGAAUGGUAAGCUUGCAUCAUAAGGAAUGGUUGAAUUAUAAAUAAUGUUCCAAGUAAAACCUUCAUUCUAACUAUUGAACUCAUUAUGUAAUGUGAUAAUUUUCUGACCUUCAAACACAAGGACGGUUCCAGGAAGCAGAUUAGAUAGUGGUUGGCCAGCAGUGCCAACAGUAAGAUGUCUUUGACAACUUUGACUUUAUUUUAUUUCAUAAAACAUGCAUCCAUAAAAAUAAAAGGAUAGAAAGGGAGAU
rnacentral:lncRNA from 1 species